rnacentral:rRNA from 1 species
AGUGAACGCUGGCGGUAGGCCUAACACAUGCAAGUCGAACGGCAGCACAGUAAGAGCUUGCUCUUACGGGUGGCGAGUGGCGGACGAGUGAGGAAUACAUCGGAAUCUACUUUUUCGUGGGGGAUAACGUAGGGAAACUUACGCUAAUACCGCAUACGACCUACGGGUGAAAGCAGGGGAUCUUCGGACCUUGCGCGAUUGAAUGAGCCGAUGUCGGAUUAGCUAGUUGGCGGGGUAAAGGCCCACCAAGGCGACGAUCCGUAGCUGGUCUGAGAGGAUGAUCAGCCACACUGGAACUGAGACACGGUCCAGACUCCUAUGGGAGGCAGCAGUGGGGAAUAUUGGACAAUGGGCGCAAGCCUGAUCCAGCCAUACCGCGUGGGUGAAGAAGGCCUUCGGGUUGUAAAGCCCUUUUGUUGGGAAAGAAAAUGCAGCAGGUUAAUACCCCGCUGUUCUGACGGUACCCAAAGAAUAAGCACCGGCUAACUUCGUG